GGACGAGACGAGUAGGCUUGUGUAAACAGGUGAAGAGUUGCUGAUGGGUAACAGCUCUUAAUGGCUUGUUCAUUCAGCCUCAUGAGUGCUGGGGUGCCCCGAGGGGAGAAAAAAGAAGAAGCGAGCGGGGCCCGGCGGGGCCGGGGCUGGGGAGUCUGUACGGAGCGGCCCGGCUCGGCCCGGCCCGACCGCGUUACCCGGGCUUCCCGGGAGCUGCCGUCGGGCUCUUCCACGGGAGCAGAGAAUGGGAAAGCUACGAAACGCGAUCCCCGAUAAUGGAGCGGAUCCGCCGACGGGCACAGAUUGGGGCUUUCGUACGGUGCCAAAUGAUAAGGGAACGGUUUCCAUCACACUUAGCUACGGAGAGACAAAUGCUAGGCAGCUGCUUUUCUCCUUUCUCAAGCUGGGACCCGACCCUUUAUCCACAUUAGUGGUAUACACUUAGGUUUAAUUUAGCAAUGUUUUUUGUUCUUGUUUGAAACCCUCGAGUGUGGUGGGUACAAGCCUCACUCUCAGUAGUCCCUGGGCUUGCCCGUGGGAAGCUAUUCACAAACGGCAGAGGCUGGCCGCAAGCCCCAUGAGGUGAGGUGGCCCUGAGGAAGGGUGGUGGUGUGAUGCCCAAAUACCAUGUUGCCUGACUCGAGUGCCGCCAGAGAGUGACUGAUGCCAUCGCACCAGCCUCUCGCCGUUCCUGCUCCAUAAGGCACGGACAAAAAUACCCUGCUGCCUUUGACCCAGGCGACUCGACUUCCCUGUGUGGUUGCUAAAAGGUAUGUGAGAGUGAGAGUGAAAGUGAGAGAGAGAGAGAGAGAGAGAGAAAGGACGUGCUGGCUAGUCCCAACAAUGACAGAAGCCGUGGGAAGGACAAUGUGAAUCCACGGUGGUUAAUUUGCACAGGAGGAAUGAGGGGGCUGCAGCUCUGGCAGGUUUCAAGCUCUCCCCCGUUGCCAUAGCGCUGCUGGCUGAGGAAGAAGAACGGGGGCUGGCAGGCUGCCUUCUGGAGGGAAUCUCCUCAGCCCUCGCUUCUCGGGAAGGACUCCACGGGAAGGCACGGGCAUCCCGGCCUCCUGGUCGCAGAAGAGACAGAUAGCACAGGAGCCCGGAGGAGUCGGCAGGGAAAUCCCCUUUCAGAAAUAACCAAAGCUCUUUCACAAAACUCCCUGUUCCUUCCCUCCUCCCCGCCAUGCCCUACGCACAGAGAUGUCACCCUCUGGGGAAGGGGCCGGGCGGCUCUGGCGGUCAGAGUCGCUACGCACCUGAACCAGGCUAAACCCAGACUCCUCACAGCAUGGAUGUGCAACAGGCCCGGCUGAGCAGGGGGAAAGCCUUCCUCGGGCUCUCUUACUUCUAAGAUCUCCCAUACUAAAAUAAACCAAACAACACUCCUUGCUUCCAAGCCUCACAGUUGGGUUGGCGACAUUUCUUUUUACAGACAAGAAAAAGGAGUCCGUGCUUCAGAAGCAGGCUCAUACUUCGCUGCUACAAACAAUGAAGUGAGCGUAACCCGUUAACCGACUAGAUGACCCGGAGGCAGUUCGGAAGGGAAGUUAGCCUAGAAAAAUACGUUCCUGUGCCACCAUGUCACUGGGUGCUGGAGUCCCGCUGCACCAGCCUCGGGUGUCAGGAUUAUUGAUUAUUUGAAUCAUUGCCAAAAUGCUGCUCACCAGGGCUGUCUCUACAGGUACGUUGGAUCAACAGUUCAGAGAGGAUGCUAACCUAAAGGAGGAAUGCUCACCUCUUUCCAAUGGUGUUGCCGGGAAGAUACUUGUUUACAUAGCUACCUUUGAGAUUAAUUGAAGGGUCCUGGAGACCGACCCUCGGCUCCGCCUAUGAAUCCCGGUCUGAGGAAGGACGGACAGAUGGACAGUGCCAGACCGCAAGCAGCCCCGGUGCUAAUUUCACGGCCAUGACUACGGAGCAGACUGAAUGCAAAAUAAGCCCCGCAAUGAUAUACGGACCCGUUUAGCCAUGUCCAAAGAAACAAGCAUUCCUGAAGACGGUUGCUAGGAGCAACGUGCCUUAAGCACCACCUUUAGAUCAGAUGGAAGCAGAAAAUAAGUGCUACUAGGAAUUCAGCACACGAGAUCAGUAGCAGCCUGGUGACUUUUUCAUCAUUACUAACCUUCCCCACAUAAAAGUGUAUGCGGGGGGGAAUUUAAGCAAAAUUAGAGGCAGACCGAGGCGCUACUCCCAGGCGAAGACAAGAGCCUUUAGUGCCCCACGGAAAGGGUUGUAGCGGCUGCUAACAGCUUACAGCGGCCACUUCAAGAGCAGGUGCUUUCCUCCCUCCAGCCACACUGCCGGCAGGCACAGAGGAUGCCGCUUGUCCGGGGAUGCAACUUUCGGGAUGCCCCCUCGCCCGCUGCGCCUGCGGUGUCCGGGCGGGCGCGGACCGGGCGCGGGGUCCCGCCGUGGGGCCCAGCCCGGAGGCGCUCCCCGGCCAACACAUACUGGCUCGGAAGUGAGGUUAACUUUCCCUUCCGUCCUGCCCUUGCUUACUGUAAAACUUCUGCAGAGGAUACACAGCGGCCGAAAUUCCUCCCUCGCUUGCUUUCUUAUGCACACGUACACACGCGCGGACACACGCAGAGCUCUUGAGGAUGGGGACAUGUUGGACCUCUUAGAACUUUCCCCGCAAGCCGUGUUUUUGAAGAGUUCCGUAAAGACUCUUUCGCGAUCACGGAACAAGGCAUAAACCAUCUCUUGUUUAACCCAAAAGGCCACCGAAGUGGCAAACGCUGCCCGGGAAGCCAGCCCGCAGGUCUCGCAUUACAGCGUCGCGCCCAUACGGAGUCGGCUCGGAUGGAGCAGGGACGCGCGACCGAAACUUAACAACUAGUUGACAGAUUUUAACUGAUCAAGCACUGCGUUAGCCGUGCUUUCCACUACUAUGGAAACAAAAAGGUACAUUACGAGGAAGCCACGCAAGCUCCGCAGAGCCCUAGGCAAACGCGUUUGCCAGUCAUUUUUCUCUCCAUUGUUAUUAUAAUUAUCAUCACCGUGCCGUUACUACGGCUACAAUGAGCUGCAGCGACAGAAAAAACACACAGCAAUUCAUCCCUCCGGAUGCAAAAUGCACAGGGACUUCGGUACUUGACUCCGGUAGCACGUCCCAGCUCUCCCCCUGCACCCCCUUCUGAGUCAAUCCUACGUAAAUCGCAUUCAGGCUUAAACGCACAAUGAAAAAGUGUCGGGAAAUCUUACCAAAUCUUAAUACAUGUGUAGUUCCUUGAGAAUAUCCAAUCCACAGUAAGCAAAGAAGGAGUCUAGUGGUGCAUCUGAAGACUGGAUUAGUUAGAAUAGGGGAAAUAAUCUUCAUGAUGUUUCUAUGCACACACGCGCUGCCUUACUUCCCCCUUCUAAGCCGUCAGGUUUCCCGGUAGGGUGAGAAUGAGGAUACGUAAACUGAUGGCCCUCAGACACGAUCACGGCAUGGUCACAGACAGAGGAGAGAGUCUACGCUUCCCAAACCCAUUAGCAAUCCCUGCAUGUUCUUCAUUCACUGCGCCAAGGAGCAACCUUCAACUGCAAGGAAUGGUGGGACAUCCAUGUUAGUCGGGGGAGAAUCCUUGAGAAAUCCAAACACACACAAUGUCCAGCCGAGUAAACCUGGGAGGCAAGAAAGGAGGAAAAUCAAUAGGUAAUCCAGCUCGAGAAACCGCUGAGGUAUCGCCACAUAGCGAGAGUCAAUGAGCACCAGCCGUUUUACUGGCGAAGCUUUUGCCGUGCUCCCAUUCUACUGCACUGCUGCACAGCUUCUGACGCGAAGCCAAGAUUAAGUGAGAGAAAUUGAGAUAGCUCUUCUCGUCUUAAGGCUGCCUGCCAGACAGCCUUCCCAAUUCCUAUUAUGCAACCGAUCUGAUCGCCUAGUGUUCUCGGAGGAAAAAAAAAAAAAAAAAUGCAGCCCGGUUUUACAUACGUGUUUUUAAUUGUUAUUAGUAUUUCGGUUGUUCUGGACAAUAUCUGUAGGGAUCUGUGGCGGGGGGUGGGGAGGGAGAGGAGAGGGCUGUAGGAGAGAAGGGAAUCGGCUUUAUAAAAAUCAAUUCAUGCAUUUUAAUAGCUGACAGGCUGGGUCGAAAUCACUUAGCUUUAGAGUUGUGAAAGAGAAGGCUGACAACAAAGUCAUGCAGGUUGUCAGAGCAACGUUUAGGCUAAAAAAAGAUCUUGAUAUUCACUAACGUUCACUAACUGUUGCUUACUCACUUUAAUGCAUGAAAUAGGAUAAAUGUGAUAGUUUUUAUAUUGUCUGUCCAUAGGAACUUGCCCCGGACUCAGUGAUUACGGAGCACCAGCCUGCUUCUGCAAGGUAAACAGGAGCAGAUAGUGGAUACAACAGCCUUGUUGAAUGCACAGACUUGUAUUUCAGUUUCGCUCAACUUGCUUGAGAUUUCAGUAUUUUUUAAAAAGACGGUGACUUAUGGAUUUGCCUGUUUGUAUUUUGCACUCUAUUCUGCCACUUUUUUCUUUUUUUUUUUUCUAACACACAGCUUUCCUUUCACUCUAGUAUUAUCGAAGUAUUGCUGUUCCUCCCUGUACUAAGAGGUGCAUGUAGUUUGUCAUUUUGUGGUCCUCAGUGAGAACAAUAGCACUCUCUAGUUUGAUAACGGGAUACUGAGUUUAUAUCUGCAGCUGCAGCCAUUGACUUUUGUCUUUUGGCCAGGUGUUCCAAAGAAGAUAAACUCACUCUCUGGACUACUUCAGAUUUUUUUUCGGAAACACAAUCAGUUAUGUGCUUGUGACCAUUAAAAUAUGUUGAACCAGGACUGUCAGACUUUACAAUCUAAGUGAAGCUUUUGCUGAACCUACUUAAACAUUAUUACAAAUAUUAAAAGACAAUUCCUAGAUUCCCCACAAGGAAAUGAAUUCAUUUUAUUCUAUAUUCUGCCUACAGAGAUCUUUUGUCUCCUUUAUCUCCCUCGUUGCCUUUUAUUACCAAAGAAAAUAUCACUAAGAGACUUCCCCCACACAUACAUAUAGAUGAACACAGAAUAUACCUGACCUUACAGAAAUAAAUACCAAUGAUGCCAAGCUAAUGAGAAUAGUCUGUGGAAUCUAUCAGAAGGAGAGCAUGGCAAAGGUGAGUUCCAGUUUAUUUUUAAAUGACAUCUGUGUAUCUUGGAAAUGUAAAGAAUUUAAUUUAUUACUUUUAAUGUUGGUGCUUUGUAUCCCUGAAAGUGUUAGCAAUUCACAGUAACUUUUUUUUUUUUUUUUAUCAUUAUGGCUUAUGAUUUUCUCUGCAUGCAUUUACUAAAACACUGUAAAACGCUGAUGAAAAGAAAUGUACGUUCUGUGAAGGGAUUAUUAAACAUCAUCGAUUUUUUUUUUCUUUAAGAUGGAGGCAUAACUGCAGUGUCAAAAAUAAGUAUCAUGAAUGGCUAGUUCUGCAGUCUAGCAGGGAAUUCAAUCAGACGAUUUGACUGUUGGAGCACUUUAAAAAGAACACCUAGUGCUAAAAGCAAGGAUAUCUAGCGACUCCUUCAGUUCACACUUAGAAUAUCUCCUAGGGAAAAAAAAAAAAAAAAAAAAAAAAAAAAAAAAAAAAAAAAAAA